UACGUAGGGUGCAAGCGUUAAUCGGAAUUACUGGGCGUAAAGCGUGCGCAGGCGGUGAUGUAAGACAGUUGUGAAAGCCCCGGGCUUAACCUGGGAAUGGCCGUUGAAACUGGCGAACUGGAGUGUGGCAGAGGGGGGUGGAAUUCCGCGUGUAGCAGUGAAAUGCGUAGAGAUGCGGAGGAACACCGAUGGCGAAGGCAGCCCCCCUGGGCUAACACUGACGCUCAGGCACGAAAGCGUGGGGAGCAAACAGG
rnacentral:rRNA from 1 species